rnacentral:rRNA from 1 species
UACGUAGGUGGCAAGCGUUGUUCGGAAUUACUGGGCGUAAAGCGCGUGUAGGCGGCUCUUCAAGUCAGACGUGAAAGCCCCGGGCUUAACUCGGGAACUGCGUUUGAUACCGUCGAGCUAGAGUGUGGAAGGGGCGAUUGGAAUUCCGUGUGUAGCGGUGAAAUGCGUAGAUAUACGGAGGAACACCAGGGGCGAAGGCGGAUCGCUGGGCCAACACUGACGCUGAGACGCGAAAGCUAGGGGAGCAAACGGG